GGCACUGUGGCCGAGCGGUUAAGGCGAAAGACUUGAAAUCUUUUGGGUUUCACCCGCGCAGGUUCGAGUCCUGCCAGUGUCG
rfam:Kuraishia capsulata CBS 1993 genomic scaffold, Kuraishia_capsulata_scaffold_5